AUGAACGCUGGCGGCGUGCCUAAUACAUGCAAGUCGAGCGAACAGACGAGGAGCUUGCUCCUCUGGCGUUAGCGGCGGACGGGUGAGUAACACGUGGAUAACCUACCUAUAAGACUGGGAUAACUUCGGGAAACCGGAGCUAAUACCGGAUAAUAUAUUGAACCGCAUGGUUCAAUAGUGAAAGACGGUUUUGCUGUCACUUAUAGAUGGAUCCGCGCCGCAUUAGCUAGUUGGUAAGGUAACGGCUUACCAAGGCGACGAUGCGUAGCCGACCUGAGAGGGGGGUCGGCCACCAGGGAACGGGACCACGGUCCCGGCUCCUACGGGGGGCAGGAGGGGGGAAACUUCCGCAAUGGGCGAAAGCCUGACGGGGCAACGCCGGGUGGGGUAUGAAGGUCUUCGGAUCGUAAAACUCUGUUAUUAGGGAAGAACAAAUGUGUAAGUAACUAUGCACGUCUUGACGGUACCUAAUCAGAAAGCCACGGCUAACUACGUG
rnacentral:rRNA from 1 species